UACGUAGGGUGCAAGCGUUGUCCGGAAUUAUUGGGCGUAAAGAGCUCGUAGGCGGUUUGUCGCGUCGAAUGUGAAAACCCGGGGCUCAACCCCGGGCCUGCAUUCGAUACGGGUAGACUAGAGUUCGGUAGGGGAGUCUGGAAUUCCUGGUGUAGCGGUGAAAUGCGCAGAUAUCAGGAGGAACACCGGUGGCGAAGGCGGGUCUCUGGGCAGUUACUGACGCUGAGGAGCGAAAGCGUGGGGAGCGAACAGG
rnacentral:rRNA from 1 species